rnacentral:rRNA from 1 species
UACGUAGGGGCAAGCGUUGUCCGGAUUUACUGGGCGUAAAGAGCGCGUAGGCGGAAGUGUAAGCGGUGCUUGAAAGCCCCCGGCUCAACCGGGGAGGGUGGUGCCGAACUGCGCUUCUUGAGGGCGAUAGAGGAGAGUGGAAUUCCGGGUGUAGCGGUGAAAUGCGUAGAGAUCCGGAGGAACACCGGUGGCGAAGGCGGGUCUCUGGGCCGUAACUGACGCUGAGGCAGCGAAAGCGUGGGGAGCGAACAGGAUUGAGACGUACCGGGUAGUCCAAGCACCGAAGUCUUCCUGGCUAC